rnacentral:rRNA from 1 species
GGGCUCGACCCAACCCGCGGAGGGGGAGCCAAUCCCAUAAAGCCAGUCGUAGUCCGGAUCGUAGUCUGCAACUCGACUACGUGAAGUCGGAAUCGCUAGUAAUCGUGGAUCAGAAUGUCACGGUGAAUACGUUCCCGGGUCUU